CCUACGGGAGGCAGCAGUGGGGAAUUUUGGACAAUGGGCGCAAGCCUGAUCCAGCCAUGCCGCGUGUGGGAAGAAGGCCUUCGGGUUGUAAACCACUUUUGUCAGGGAAGAAACGGCUUUUUCUAAUACAGAGAGCUAAUGACGGUACCUGAAGAAUAAGCACCGGCUAACUACGUGCCAGCAGCCGCGGUAAUACGUAGGGUGCAAGCGUUAAUCGGAAUUACUGGGCGUAAAGCGUGCGCAGGCGGCUUUGCAAGACAGAUGUGAAAUCCCCGGGCUCAACCUGGGAACUGCAUUUGUGACUGCAUGGCUAGAGUACGGUAGAGGGGGAUGGAAUUCCGCGUGUAGCAGUGAAAUGCGUAGAUAUGCGGAGGAACACCGAUGGCGAAGGCAAUCCCCUGGACCCUGUACUGACGCUCAUGCACGAAAGCGUGGGGAGCAAACAGGAUUAGAUACCCUGGUAGUCCACGCCCUAAACGAUGUCAACUGGUUGUUGGACGGCUUGCUGUUCAGUAACGAAGCUAACGCGUGAAGUUGACCGCCUGGGGAGUACGGCCGCAAGGUUGAAACUNAAAUUGAAUUGACGG
rnacentral:rRNA from 1 species